rnacentral:rRNA from 1 species
UACGUAGGGGGCGAGCGUUGUCCGGAUUUAUUGGGCGUAAAGAGCGUGUAGGCGGCCAGGUAGGUCUGCUGUGAAAACUCGAGGCUCAACCUCGAGACGUCGGCGGAAACCAUCUGGCUAGAGUCCGGAAGAGGCGAGUGGAAUUCCUGGUGUAGCGGUGAAAUGCGCAGAUAUCAGGAAGAACACCCGUGGCGAAGGCGGUUCUCUGGGACGGUACUGACGCUGAGACGCGAAAGCGUGGGGAGCGAACAGG